rnacentral:rRNA from 1 species
UGAGGAACCCACCCUGGAGACCGGGAUAACCCUCCGAAAGGAGAGCUAAUACCGGAUGUUCUCCUCGGAUCGCAUGAUCUGAUGAGGAAAUGGAUUCCGCUUCAGGACGGCCUCGCGGCCUAUCAGCUAGUUGGUGAGGUAACGGCCCAUCAAGGCGACGACGGGUAGCCGGCCUGAGAGGGUGACCGGCCACACGUGGGACUGAGACACGGCCCAGACCUCCGUACGGGAGCAGCGAG